rnacentral:rRNA from 1 species
UGCCAGCCGCCGCGGUAAUACAGAGAGUGCAAGCGUUAAUCGGAAUUACUGGGCGUAAAGGGCGUGUAGGCGGAUGUGCAAGUCAGAUGUGAAAUACCUGGGCUUAACCGAGGAAGGUCAUUUGAAACUGCAUAUCUAGAGUGCAAUAGAGGGGAGUGGAAUUUCCGGUGUAGCGGUGAAAUGCGUAGAUAUCGGAAGGAACACCAGUGGCGAAGGCGGCUCCCUGGAUUGACACUGACGCUGAGGCGCGAAAGCGUGGGGAGCGAACAGGAUUAUCUA